rnacentral:lncRNA from 1 species
UAUGUCCAACUUACUGUCCUGUGAUAUUAGGCCUAAGAAAAUUAAUAACUUAAGCGGAUAAGUCCAAUAAAUUAAGUAAUACUACAAUCCAAACUUAAUUAACAAUAAAAGAUCUAACAAUAAAUCUAACGUCCAUAUAUAUUGUCAUGUCGAAGUCCGUAAACACGCUAGUUGAUCCUUUCUGUGUGAUGAGUACGGCCUUCCUAUCACCAUAUAUAUAUAUAUAUAUAGAGUUGAGCUGGAAUGCUAUCGGUAGCAAACGAGUUCCGUUGCCACCCAUUUGUUUUCGAUGAUGGAGCUUUCAAAUUGACGAUCGGCACCGUUGAACAUGAUCUAUAUCACUUGAAGUAUCUAGAAAUCAAAUUUCAAAUCUUUUCGACAUCAUUUACCUAAUGAUCAAAGGAUUUCAAAAUUAGUAAUUUUAAUGGUUGAUAUGAGGGAUUUUCUCGUUUAACGGUGUAAAGCUAUCCAAAUCAAUUGAAUUUUGGUUAGAAAAUUCUUUAAACUAUUUAGAAUAAGAUCUAUACUCUUGAUCAAGAUUACAAAAUUUUUAUCAUCAUUUUUCAGAGAAUAUUCAUUUUCAGCCAUUCAUUUUUAUGCCCACUUGAUGGACAAGAAAACAAUAUGGGAAAAGUAUGAAAUUUGAUUUCUAGAUACUUCAAGUGGUAUAGAUCAUUUUCAACGGUGCCGAUCGUCGAUUUGGAGGCUCCAUCAUCGAAAACAAAUGGGUGGCAACGGAGCCCGUUUGCUACUAAUAGUAUUCCAGCUCAACUCUAUAUAUAUAUAUAUAUAUAUAUAUAUAUAUAUAUAUUGGAAUAGUUGUUUAACGCUUACAUUCACAAUUUACACCUUUAAAUGUGUACACAGGUGGCAUUGCUCAUAGCAUUUUUUUUUUAUAAUUUAGAUUAAUUACUAAAAAAAGUACCUAGAAAGUGACAUCACAAGUGACCAUGUACUACAUUCAUGUCAAUUUUUCAUUUGAUAGCGUUGCAGACAUACCCAUUUGAAACAGAACAAUCAAACAGUAUUAUGAUAAUUUAAAGUGUAUCAUCACAGAAUAAUGUGUCAAAUUAAUAAGAUACAACUAAAUGCACUUUGCCCUUUUACAAAGAGAGUAAUUAAAAUAUAUAGUUUUGUGUUAAUUUUAAAACAAUUCUGUAUCAUGUGAACUACUUGAUGGGUGGGAAAAAUAUUUAUAAAAAUAGUUGAGCUAUGUGUUACCUCUUUUAAGUGAUGCGAUUAACAAAUAAUGCAACGAAAGUAUAAAUUAAUUUUUAUUAAUUAAAUAUUAUUGAUAAGUCAGUAUUUUUAUAUAAUUUUUGAAUUGAAAAAUAGUUUUAAAAUCCCGCCUACAUACUGACACAUUAUAAUACGACUCAUCAGUGGUGUAUAAAGAGUACAAAAUGUCGCUUGGGGUUUUCUUAGUUUGGAGAGAGACACAUAUCAAAAAUGGUAUAAUUAAUGUUGUUAUCAACCCACAAUUUUUCACAAGCAUGCUUUGCAUAUAUGGAAAACUAUUAUGGCACUUUGAAAAAUGCCUGUAUAUGUUAACCAAUUAAAAGAUUUUUCCUAUCAUAAUGGAGCCAAUAUUGAAAAAAAUUGUAACAUAAAUUCCAUAUACGCAGGGAAAUGCUUUGCACUCCCCCACAGUGUUGUUCCUAUAAGGUUUUAAUGUAUUAGCACAACAAUAUGACACUUUAAGGACCGUCCCUAGCGCAAGUGGUAAAGGGCAUGGUGAUUGAUAUCCGAGACUCAAGUUCGAAUCCUAAUUGAUUCACAUUUUUAGCUAAGUUUAUUUCUAAAUGAAAUAAACGAAACGGAUAGCGUGCUAUCUAUCUCUCUCAACAAAAAAAAAAAGGCUUCACAUAAUAGACGCCGUUGCAUCAAUUGCAUUAAUAACACAUAAAGAUAAUAUAACGAGGCGCUUAUAGUAGUGUUCUUUUGUGUAUGUAUUGACACAAAAGUAUGACACUUUUAGGUGUAUGUUCAUGAAUCAAUCAAAACUCUUCAUAUUAUAAAUGCCAAUGUAUCAAUUCUAUCAAUGAUAUAUAAGAACAAUAUUAUAAGAUACCUGUAGUGGUACUCUUUUUUUUUUGUGAAUAAAUCAAACUCUAAAGCCAUGUUAUUGGAAGCCGGAAUAAGUUAUCAAAAAACAAUAUAUUUUACAUGAGUUGAGCUGCAAUGCUAUCGGUAGCAAACGGGCUCCGUUGCCACCUAUUUGUUUUCGAUGAUGCAGCUUUCAAAUCGACGAUCGGCAUCGUUGAAUAUGAUCUAUAUCACUUGAAGUAUUUAGAAAUUAAAAUUCAAAUCUUUUCGACAUUAUUUACCUAAUGAUCAAAGGGUUUCAAAAUUAGUAAUUUUAAUGGUUGAUAUGAGGGGUUUUCUUAUUUAACUGUGUAAAACUAUCCAAAUCAAUUGAAUUUUGGUUAGAAAAUUCUUUAAACUAUUUAGAACAAGAUCUAUACUCUCGAUCAUGAUUACAAAAUUUAUAUCAUCACUUUUUAGAGGAUAUUCAUUUUCAGCCAUUCAUUUUUACGCCCACUUGAUGGACAAGAAAACAAUAUCGGAAAAAUAUGAAAUUUGAUUUCGAGAUACUUCAAGUGAUAUAGAUCAUUUUCAACGGUGCCGAUCGUCGAUUUGGAGGCUCCAUCAUCGAAAACAAAUGGGUGGCAACGGAGUCCGUUUGCUACCGAUAGUAUUCCAGCUCAACUCUAUUUUACAUAUAAAAUAAUUUAUUUAAU